rnacentral:lncRNA from 1 species
CGGAGCCCCGCCCUCACCGCGUCAAGCGGGCGGAAGCGGGCGCGGGUGAAGCCCGCGUCGGCUGCCAUCUUAGCAGCGGGCGCGCGGAGGUGCCCGUAUGUUAGGCGCCAUCUUUGAGGCUGGCAGUGGUGAAGGCGACGGCCUGAGCGGUGGCCCCAGCGGAGCGAGGGGACAAGGCGACGGCGGCAGCGGCAGUUCCCCAGGGGUUCGAUUUGGGAAAAUUCCCUGCCAAAAAAAAAAUCCUGGAAAAUUCACUAGUGUUUGUGUUUUAUAGCAUUUAGUAUUAAAAAUCAAGAAACAAAAUGUCUGACUUCRCAUCAAAAAAACGGCUUGUGGCUAAAUGGAAUCAGUUUCAGCUUUUGCAGCAUCAAAUAAAUCAUUGGCUGUUAAGAAUUGGACCUAAACC